GGAGGAGUGGCCGAGUGGUUUAAGGCGGCGGUCUUGAAAACCGCUGUGCUGUAAGGCACCGGGGGUUCGAAUCCCUCCCCCUCCGCCA
rnacentral:tRNA from 1 species